GAUCUCACACUAUUGCUCAGAUUGGCCUGGAACUGGAACUCACUGUGUAGCCCAGGUUGGCCCUGAAUUUAAGGCAGUUUUCUUAUCCUAGCCUCCCAAGUACUAGGAUUACAGGGAGCUGGUGCACUGGCGAAGUCCCAUCCUCAGAGGCUGCAGAUGAACUGUGGGCAUCAGCGAAAGCAGCGAAUGUGUGAUCUCAGGUGUGAUUUGCGCCAGGGCGUCACUGUAGACUCACCAAGAACUCCUGGUUCCUGGAGGGGUCUGAAGAUGUCAGAAGUCGAGACACCGUCCAACAAUACAGCCUUGUUGAAUUGACGUGGGGGCAUGAAUGCUGCCCUCGGAAAACUGAAGAGAGGCCACAGAUAAGCUGUGAAACUCACUGCUGCACCUACU